GUGUAGUCGAUACGUGUUUCUGCACCAUUUGAAACUUCUGUUCCAUUUCCUUUAAUGAUUGCAUUUUUUAUAGAAUUGCUUAAAUUAUAUAAAAUAUUAUAAACCCGAAUUUUUUCGAUUAAUACAGAGUCGCACAUUCAAAUACUUAAACGCCCGUAUUCACAAACAUUACUAUGAGGUCUCACAGUGUGCGUGGACGCACAGGGUGACACACGAGCCAAUCGCAGAGCUCUAUUCAACGCUGUGCGUAGGGAUAUUCCGAUACUAAUAAAUACGAGUAGGUACUCGAUACUUUUGAUUCGAUACCAAGUAUUUAUUGUAUCGAAUCAAUUUUGCGAUACAUAAUCGGUAUCGAAACAAAAAUACUUGGUAUCGAAUCGAAUCAGCAAAACAACCGAAAACAAUAAAAAAAAAACCGAGAACGCAUCAUACAGAACUGAGAGAGUAAAAACAGUCAGCUAAUCAGCUUUAAUCGGUUACCGAGUUACCGGUAUUCGUCGCGUGGCGGCGUGAGUGACGCGUUGUCUCGCGCUGGGCCAGCCGAAUUCGUCCGACUUCAGCCGAGCCCGAGCCGAAAGCGAGAGAAGGAGACACCCGCACCCGCCCGCAAAUCAUCUCGCCAUUCCCCCAUUGUGAAAGUGUUAAGUGAUUAUUUACAAGUAAUUUUAUUAAUUGUAAUCAUCAAAUUCAUCGGUUUAUUCCAAUGUUAUCAUGGCAUAAACCGAUAAAUAAAUAGUUGUUUUCUUCUCAAUUUUGUUUAAAUUAUUGUCCUUCAACGUUCAUUGAUAGCACCCUCAAAAUAAUAAAACAAAAUAAAAGUUCCAAAAAGUAUCGAUAUCAGUAAGUAUCGAUACUUUAGGAGUACUUAUUUAAGUAGUAUCGAAAAAAGAUUUGAGUAUUAUCGAAAUGAGUAGGUAUCGAUACUUAGGUGGUAUCGGAACAUCCCUAGCUGCGCGUUGCCGCGAAGAGCAGUGAAUGCAAGUGUGGUGCGCUAGAUGGCGACACAGUAGCUUCUUGUAGCAGUCAGCCCUAUGGCAUCAAGACAGUA